GACAACCGUGUGAAGGGAUGAAUACUGGUGAGCGGUGCAUUAAGGUGGCUGAGACGGUCGGCAGGCAGGGCUGGGGUGGGGGCCGGUGGGACACAGGCCGUGGCUGGGCCUGAGUCAAGGACCUGCCCACGGCUGGGCUCCGUGCCUCCCAGGAACCGGACUCUCCACACCCCUGGUGACCCUGCACAUUCCCAUUGGCCUGCGGAGGCUGGACCAGGAAUGAAGGGGUCCCCAGGCCAGGUCAGGGUGGACCCCCCGCAGUCUCGUGGGUGGGGAGUGGUUAGGGUCAGUGAUAUGCCCAAGCUCACCCAGCUGCUGGUGGCAGGACUCACUGGAAUCUGGCCUCGGUGUCCAGCUUCAUCAAGCCACAGCUGUCCUCCAUGCUCAGAGCCAGCAGACCAGGGAUGAAGUGGAGAUUCUCUGUUUUCACGUCUGUGCACUUGCACAGUAAGAGGUGAACGGUCCUGUGUUUGGAGCAGGGCCGAGAUGGACCAGGGAUUGCCUGCAGGCCUCUCUUACUCCCUGGGGCAGCCUCCUCAGAUCUCCGGGCUGAAACUGCUGGACCCAUCUCUGUGGUCCUUCCAGCUCCAGCCUGAGGCUGUAGGAUGAAGCCAGGAGCCUGUGCCUUCAUCCCACACAAAUGCAGCCAGAAAUUGGGAUCCCCACACCCCACCUUUGGAGAAGACAUGAGCUGCUUUCAAAUGUCACAUGUGGGUCCCCAAGCGAAGAAUCUUGCUUUGAGCAUAUUCAUUACGUCCAACAGAAACGUCCGGCACACAAGGUCUAACAGUUAAGUAUUCAGAGUACAAAGAAAAACAAGCCUUGAAUAUUCAGAUAAAUAUCAUUAACUUCAAAGAUGUUCGUUCCUUGGUGAGACAAUUCAUUAUUCUGAUAAUGCUGCUGUUUCUUAAGAUUUCUUUCAAGUGCAUCUUUCAGAGUUGCCUCCAAAGCGGGCAUAUCCUUGGUUGGGUAACUCUACCCACUGGAUUCAAUUUUGGAGAAAAACCAACAUUUAUACCCAUGGAGCUACAGACUGUGACCAGGGCUUCCCUGAUGGCUCAAACGGUAAAGAAUCUGCCUGAAAUGCAGGAGACCCAGGUUUGAUCCCUGGGUUGGGAAGAGCCCCUGGAGGAGGGCAUGGCAACUCACUCCAGUAUUCUUGCUUGGAGAAUUCCACGGACAGAGGAUCCUGCUGGGCUACAGUCCACAGGGUUGCAAAGGGUUAGACACGACUUAACAACUAAACAGCAGCACUAUAUAACUCUACAAAUAUACGUUGAAGGAAGGAAGGCAGGCCUGACACAGGAAACAGCGUCUUUUCAGAGCCAGGCCUCUGGGAGGAAUUAGAUUCCCGAUUAGGUUUCAAGGGAGACGGCUCUUACCUGAUACACCGCAGGGGACGCGGGGACAUGUGCCAGGCAUGGGCCACCUGCCUCCCUUCACCUGCAAUUAAAGGAUCACCAGCCUUUUCUCAGAUCUUCUAUUGACUGUAAAUAGUCCACCCCAGGGAGGAGAUGCCUCUGCAGGGCUCUGCUGGCUAUGCUCAACCCCAAACAAAAUACAGAUAACACAGCUUUUUCUGUCUCAAACAGGAAUAGUUAAUGCUGUUAGAAAUUAAGAUAAAAAGAAAUCCUCCAUUUUUACAGAUGAAUCAUUGAAACCUGGCUCGGAAGACCACCCAUGGCUCCAGAGAAAGUGUUUUGCUGGUUAAGUUUUUAACAUUCGAGGCUCUUGGAGAGGUUGAUUUGAAAGCAGCCAUAAAUCACACCACUUCAAAGGCGACUGUGGUUUGUGAAAGGACCCGGCCGCUGCCUGCCUGCUGGAAUCUGGAGGGCAGGAAGAAAGCUUUGACCUUCCUCUGCUGACUCUGCAUAAUGACCACUUUUGAAUCGUGAAAUGUCUUAGAAAUUAUAGAAGAUUUUGGAAAUUCUCAGACUGCCAUUUAGUUUCAA
ensembl:lncRNA